rnacentral:rRNA from 1 species
AUGGGCUGCUUCGGCUGCUUCGCCCCGGCGGCGCGCCGAGGGGCCGGCGACCUCAAGCCCUCCAAGCUCGCCCACCACUGCACCGACGACGACUCAGUCGCGGACGCGCAGAGGAAGGUGGCGCCGGACGUGGGGAGCGGCUGCGCGCACAGCUUCACCUUCAAGGAUCUGCUCGUCGCCACCGGCUACUUCAACGAGGCCAAUUUCAUCGGCGAGGGCGGCUUCGGCAAGGUGUACAAGGGCAAGAUCUCCAAGACCAACUCGCAGGGCGCUUCCGAUGCGCAGAUGGUGGCGGUGAAGCAGCUGGCCCGGGAGAGCGUGCAGGGGAGGAAGGAGUUCCUGGUGGAGGUGCUCAUGCUCACGGUGCUCAGCCACCCCAACCUCGUCAGCCUCGUCGGCUUCUGCGCGCAGGGGGACGAGCGCCUGCUGGUCUACGAGUACAUGCCCUUCGGCAGCCUCGAGAGCCACCUCUUUGAUGUUCCUCAUGGCAAGCCACCACUAGACUGGAAUACACGAGUGAAGAUAGCUGUUGGGGUAGCAGAAGGGCUCUCAUACCUGCACAACGUGGCAGACCCACCGAUCAUUUACCGCGACAUGAAAGCUGCCAACAUUCUGCUGGAUGAGGACUUCAGCCCAAAGCUCUCCGAUUUUGGACUGGCAAAAGUUGGGCCCGUUGGUGACAGGACUCAUGUGUCUACCAGGGUCAUGGGUACCUAUGGAUACUGCGCUCCUGAUUACGUGGUGAGUGGCAAGCUUACCAUGAAAUCCGACAUCUACAGCUUUGGUGUUCUUCUGUUGGAGCUGAUCACCGGGAGGAGGAUCUAUGAUGCUUCGAGGCCUAAGCCAGAGCAGAGUUUGCUAACAUGGUCAAGGCCAUUUAUGCAUGACAAGAGGAAAUUCCACCGGCUGGCUGACCCAGCCCUCCGCGGCAGCUACCCUCCCUCGGCGCUCAACCAGCUGGUGGUGAUCAGCAUCAUGUGCCUGCAGGACCAGCCCCACGUCCGCCCCAUCAUCGCAGACGUUGCGAUAGGCCUGAACCAUGUCGCCAGCCAGCCUUAUGCUUCCCUGGCCUCCAUGGGCUCCCCGGCAUACAGUGGCUCACCGCAGUAUAGCCGCACGCCGUCCAGACGGCGAGGAGGCAGCGGCGGCAGCAGGAGGGUCUCGCAGUACGCGUCCUAG